rnacentral:rRNA from 1 species
GUCACGCCCUAAACGAUGUCAACUGGUUGUUGGGAGGGUUUCUUCUCAGUAACGAAGCUAACGCGUGAAGUUGACCGCCUGGGGAGUACGGCCGCAAGGUUGAAACUCAAAGGAAUUGACGGGGACCCGGCACAAGCGGUGGAUGAUGUGGUUUAAAUUCGAUGCAACGCGAAAAACCUUAACCUACCCUUGACAUGUCAAGAAUCUUGCAGAGAUGUGAGAGUGCUCGAAAGAGAACUUGAACACAGGUGCUGCAUGGCCGUCGU